CAGUUAACACAUUAAGUGUACCGCCUGGGGAGUACGGUCGCAAGAUUAAAACUCAAAGGAAUAGACGGGGACCCGCACAAGCGGUGGAGCAUGUGGUUUAAUUCGAAGAUACGCGAAAAACCUUACCUGGCCUUGACAUUGAUAGAAUCCUGUAGAGAUACGGGAGUGCCGGCUUGCCGGAACUUGAAAACAGGUGCUGCACGGCUGUCGUCAGCUCGUGUCGUGAGAUGUUGGGUUAAGUCCCGCAACGAGCGCAACCCACGUCCUUAGUUGCCAGCAUUUCGGAUGGGAACUCUAAGGAGACUGCCUUCGCAAGGAGGAGGAAGGUGUGGACGACGUCAAGUCAUCAUGGCCCUUACGGCCAGGGCUACACACGUGCUACAAUGGGGCGUACAAAGAGCAGCAAUACCGCGAGGUGGAGCAAAUCUCAAAAACGCCUCCCAGUUCAGAUUGCACUCUGCAACUCGAGUGCAUGAAGUUGGAAUCGCUAGUAAUCGUAGAUCAGCAUUGCUACGGUGAAUACGUUCCCGGGUCUUGUACUCACCGCCCGUCACACCAUGGGAGUUGAUUUCACCCGAAGCGGGGAUG
rnacentral:rRNA from 1 species